UUAACUAUUAUAUAGUACUCAGACGACACUAUAAUUCAGAAUUAGGGGUCCUCUGGCGGGCGCUCCCCCGCCGAAGCCAGGGCGCGGCUAGACCUCGUGGCCCGCCAAAGCAACAAACGUAGUAUUCAAGGGUAGGAGUUCUGACCCUUUUCAGGGCACAGAAAACACUGUAAUGAUCCUUCCGCAGGUUCACCUACGGAAA
rnacentral:misc_RNA from 1 species